rnacentral:rRNA from 1 species
AUUGGACGCUGGCGGCAUGCUUAACACAUGCAAGUCGAACGGUAGCAGGCCCUUCGGGGUGCUGACGAGUGGCGGACGGGUGAGUAAUGCGUAGGAAUCUACCUAGUUGAGUGGGAUAGCCUAGGGAAACUUAGGGUAAUACCGCGUAAGCCCGAGAGGGGAAAGCAGGGGACCGAAAGGCCUUGCGCGAUUAGAUGAGCCUACGUCGGAUUAGCUUGUUGGUGGGGUAAAGGCCUACCAAGGCGAUGAUCCGUAGCUGGUCUGAGAGGACGACCAG